UACGGAGGGUGCAAGCGUUAAUCGGAAUUACUGGGCGUAAAGCGCACGCAGGCGGUCUGUCAAGUCGGAUGUGAAAUCCCCGGGCUCAACCUGGGAACUGCAUUCGAAACUGGCAGGCUAGAGUCUUGUAGAGGGGGGUAGAAUUCCAGGUGUAGCGGUGAAAUGCGUAGAGAUCUGGAGGAACACCGGUGGCGAAGGCGGCAUCCUGGACCGGUAUUGACGCUGAGGCGCGAA
rnacentral:rRNA from 1 species